rnacentral:misc_RNA from 1 species
UACCCUUAGGCACCAUUUCUUCCGAGACCACUGAAGGAUUGAAUUUUUGUUCUCAUCUCAGUAAUCCACAAACAACGAGGAAUUAAGAAAAUAAAAACAUUACAUUGAAUGUGUAAUUCAGUGAUACAUGUGGUCAGUUGAUCAGGGUAAAUUUAGCCGACCUAUCGGCAAAUUUCAUUAUUGGUUGUUCAAACAAAGCUAGGAUGCUAUUUUAUAAGUUGGCAAUACGAGCCACCGGCAAAAAUUCAAGUGAAUAGAGUGUAUUUCAGUUGAAUUUCUAUUUUAUUUUUAACAUGCAAUAUCCAAAUUUUUGGAAACCCAAGGACAAACCUUAAAUCCUACUUUAUAAUUUCCCUCUCACAUUUUAAGUAUUGACUUUUUUUUUAUG